rnacentral:rRNA from 1 species
GUGAACGCUGGCGGUAGGCCUAACACAUGCAAGUCGAACGGCAGCACAGUAAGAGCUUGCUCUUACGGGUAGCGAGUGGCGGACGGGUGAGGAAUACAUCUGAAUCUACUUUUUCGUGGGGGAUAACGUAGGGAAACUUACGCUAAUACCGCAUACGACCUACGGGUGAAAGCAGGGGAUCUUCGGACCUUGCGCGAUUGAAUGAGCCGAUGUCGGAUUAGCUAGUUGGCGGGGUAAAGGCCCACCAAGGCGACGAUCCGUAGCUGGUCUGAGAGGAUGAUCAGCCACACUGGAACUGAGACACGGUCCAGACUCCUACGGGAGGCAGCAGUGGGGAAUAUUGGACAAUGGGCGCAAGCCUGAUCCAGCCAUACCGCGUCGGUGAAGAAGGCCUUCGGGUUGUAAAGCCCUUUUGUUGGGAAAGAAAAGCAGCAGGUUAAUACCCCGCUGUUCUGACGGUACCCAAAGAAUAAGCACCGGCUAACUUCGUG